rnacentral:rRNA from 1 species
UACAGAGACUGCGAGCGUUAUUCGGAUUCACUGGGCGUAAAGGGUGCGCAGGCGGCCAAGUGUGUUAGGCGUGAAAGCCCGGGGCUUAACCUCGGAACUGCACCUAAAACUACUUGGCUAGAGCAUUGGAGAGGGUAGCGGAAUUCACGGUGUAGCAGUGAAAUGCGUAGAUAUCGUGAGGAACACCAGAGGCGAAGGCGGCUACCUGGACAAUUGCUGACGCUCAGGCACGAAAGCGUGGGGAGCAAAAGGG